GAUGAACGCUGGCGGCGUGCCUAAUACAUGCAAGUCGAGCGAACAGACGAGGAGCUUGCUCCUCUGACGUUAGCGGCGGACGGGUGAGUAACACGUGGAUAACCUACCUAUAAGACUGGGAUAACUUCGGGAAACCGGAGCUAAUACCGGAUAAUAUGUUGAACCGCAUGGUUCAAUAGUGAAAGACGGUUUUGCUGUCACUUAUAGAUGGAUCCGCGCCGCAUUAGCUAGUUGGUAAGGUAACGGCUUACCAAGGCGACGAUGCGUAGCCGACCUGAGAGGGUGAUCGGCCACACUGGAACUGAGACACGGUCCAGACUCCUACGGGAGGCAGCAGUAGGGAAUCUUCCGCAAAGGGCGAAAGCCUGACGGAGCAACGCCGCGUGAGUGAUGAAGGUCUUCGGAUCGUAAAACUCUGUUAUUAGGGAAGAACAAAUGUGUAAGUAACUAUGCACGUCUUGACGGUACCUAAUCAGAAAGCCACGGCUAACUACGUG
rnacentral:rRNA from 1 species